GUGGGGAAUAUUGGGCAAUGGGCGAAAGCCUGACCCAGCAACGCCGCGUGAAGGAAGAAGGUUUUCGGAUUGUAAACUUCUGUCCUCAGGGAAGAAGAAAGUGACGGUACCUGAGGAGGAAGCCCCGGCUAACUACGUGCCAGCAGCCGCGGUAAUACGUAGGGGGCGAGCGUUGUCCGGAAUGACUGGGCGUAACGGGCGCGUAGACGGCUGUCUAAGUCUGGAGUGAAAGUCCUGCUUUCAAGGUGGGAAUUGCUUUGGAGACUGGAUGGAUUGAGUGCGGAAGAGGUAAGUGGAAUUCCCGGUGUAGCGGUGAAAUGCGUAGAGAUUGGGAGGAACACCAGUGGCGAAGGCGACUUACUGGGCCGUAACUGACGUUGAUGCGCGAAAGCGUGGGGAGCGAACAGGAUUAGAAACCCGUGUAGUCC
rnacentral:rRNA from 1 species